ACAACUCACAAGUACAAACAACUAAAAACAAACACAAACAACUUAACAACAGAACAAGGCAGCCGCAACCCGCAAGUCUGCAACCACCAACCAGCCACCACAAGCCGCGAUCUGUUGCUGCCAACUGCUGAAGAAAUCACGAUCUGUUGCUGCCAAGUGAAGUCGCGACCAGCCGUGAGUCGUGAGCCGUCUGCAUCUCUGCGAUCUGCUGCUGCCAACUCCCAACUCCCAAGUGAAGCCGCGAUCUGCUGCCAAGUGAA
rnacentral:lncRNA from 1 species